rnacentral:lncRNA from 1 species
UCUUCCGGAGAGACUGGCCCGAGUCCUGGACUUGACUCGCAGCCCCGCGCCGCCUGCGGCGGGAAGGGGGCGGCUCCCGCCCCAGGCGGAUCCGGGUGCGCCCCGCGCGGCUGCGCUCGCGCUCCUCCUCGAAGUCACUGGGUCCCGCAGCCCAGGGGGCGGAGGGCAAAGGAUCUCAUGUCGCUGCUGCCGCCACCCCCGAUUCGCAAUGUUUCUGCUUCCCUCCACUCUGUCCCGGGUUCCAGGGCCCUGUCUCUAGGGGCGCCCUGGGUCUUCCAGGAGUGAUCCAGAAGUUUCUUCCUGUCCUGCGUGCGCUGACCAUCGGCCCCGAGGACAGCGAUAAGAUGGCUAAAGGCUCCCGAGGCCAGUGCACUCCCAGAGCCUUGAAGACAGCAGAAGUCCUCUAAGCCCUGUGUGGUGAGAGAGGAUUUCCAGAGGAGUCAUCAGAACUGAGCGUGAAGAAGGGCUGUGUGUGACCCAAUGGAGGAUGCUGAAGAGGGCAUUCGAAGCAGAGAAGAACAUGUGCAAAGCAGGAGACGGGCAGAACAGGAGGGAUUCUAAAACAGCAGGUGUGCUGCAGAGGAAGAAGGGUGGCUGCAAACCCUGAGGAGGAAAAGGAUUAAGUUUAAAAAAAAUACACAGGAAGGAAUAAGAAGGAGAGAUACCAUAAAGAAAAUAUUAACAGGACCUGAUCACUGAGCGGUUUGGAAGGUAACAUUGGAACAUACAGGUGGCAGGUAGGGGAGAAUUUGGAGACUUUUGAAAAGAAUGUGAAAUUGGAGAGUGGGGCUCAGUUUCUUGGUCUGAGGACACAUGUCUAAUUAUCCACCAAAUCACCAAGAUCAUCAGAAAUGAUUGGAACAUUGACAGUAGCUGCUACAAAAAGUAACACUUCCAACCAACCAUUACCAUAAACUCAUAGAAACUUUUUAUUCCAUUUCUUGCAUGAGACAUGUUUGACUUCCACGGCCAUUCUGGCAUCAGAUCCUUAAAGAAAAUGCCAAGGAGUGAUAAAUGUGACUCUAUUUAUAUGUUAAAAAUUAAGUAAACCACCAUUUCACUAAUUAUAAUGAGGAUAUAUCUGCUCUGGAACUUAAGACUACUUCAUUCUGAGACAAAAGAAACUAACUUUUUUUAAUGAAAUGCCUAGGGUGACAAAUUCAGUCUUUUCUAUGACUUCUGUGGCUUAAAGAAUAUUAAUAUCAAAGACCCAAUGAAUUAAUUUUCAAUUAUUUGAUUUUAGUUUUAAGUUUCAUGAAUAAAUUGCUUUCUAGUAAUCAUUGUUACAGGAGUUAUUAAAAAAUUAUUUUAGGCAGAUAAAGAAGAAAAGGGGUCCUUGGGAAGUUUAUUUUUCUUUUAAAUCAGCUCCAGAAAUGUUUCUUGCCUAGCAGAAAAACCCUGGCAGGCAAGCUUUGAUAUGCAAAUGCAGGCCAUUAGAAACUAGGUCCACCAAACAUGGCGAUUCCUGCCAUCUUCUUGUGCCCACAUGUGCCUGGCAACAUGGCCACCCCACAUAUCCCCACAUGUGUAGAACAUCAUGGUGCCCUUCAUUUGCAUAUUAAAAGGCUAGGGUGGGAGGGCCAGUUUUUUCACCGGCUACUUGAAUGACAUACCUGGUCAAACCAAUCCUCUGGGCACUAUGCCAGUAAGACACCGCCUCCUCCAGCCUCCUCAUAUAAAUGGCUGUUUUUCACCGCACUCAGGGUUCCCUCUUUCAGCUUAGAGCCCCCCCACCUCUAUCUCUGUACAGAGGGAGCCUCUUCCUUCUUUCUUGCCUAUUACAAUUCUCCACUCCCUAAAGCCACUCCACAUGUGUCUGUGUCGUUUUAUUCAAACCGGUGCAAGACCAAGGACCCUGGUGUUCCUCCAGUCAUCAAAGCCAUAUGAUUUUGGUGCAUUGGCCAGGAAUCCAAGGUACAGCAUUCAUCAGAGUGGUAAGUAUGGGAGUAAGCUUAAAAUCUGUUCUGUCAUUCCAAGGUGCUCUUGGCCUCUUUUUUUUUUUAAUUAUACUUUAAAUUCUAGGGUACAUGUGCACAACAUGCAGGUUUGUUACAUAUUUAUACAUGUGCCAUGUUGGUUUGCUGCACCCAUCAACUCAUGAUUUACAUUAGGUAUUUCUCCUAAUGCUAUCCCUCCCCCAGCCUCCCACCCCACAACAGGCGCCAGCAUGUGAUAUUCCCUUCCCUGUGUCCAAGUGUUCUCAUUGUUCAAUUCCCACCUAUGAGUGAGAACAUGCAGGUUUGGUUUUCUGUCCUUGGGUCAGUCUGCUGAGAAUGAUGGUUUCCAGCUUCAUCCAUG